AAUUCUAGUGGCGGACGGGUGAGUAACGCGUGGGUAACCUGCCUUAUACAGGGGGAUAACAGUCAGAAAUGGCUGCUAAUACCGCAUAAGCGCACAGAGCUGCAUGGCUCAGUGUGAAAAACUCCGGUGGUAUAAGAUGGACCCGCGUUGGAUUAGCUUGUUGGUGGGGUAACGGCCCACCAAGGCGACGAUCCAUAGCCGGCCUGAGAGGGUGAACGGCCACAUUGGGACUGAGACACGGCCCAGACUCC
rnacentral:rRNA from 1 species